UGUGUCCCACACCAACUCACCUUACAGCUUUUUAUUACCCUAAAUUUGUGUGCUAUGUUUCAGCUUUUCCAAUCGUGUUCAUUUAGGAUUUAUGAAAUAUUAAAUUUUUUAGGGUUUGUCAUUCUUUAUAAUACCAUCUUCAAAAAUGAAAUUACUUGUCAGUUGAAUUGGGGGUUAAAGUUGAAGUUGAAGGGUGUGCCAACAGCAACUGGCAGGAUUAAUUGAGCAGCAGAAAGUCAAAAGUUGUUUAUAGGUAAGAUUUUGCUGAUGGUGGAUUAUCUCAUGAUGAAGCCUGCAAUUAGUCAUCAGGUGGACACACUUCAUUCCCUCUAGUGAUUCAAUCCCUUUAGUGCUAACUCUUUUAUGCAUAACUAUCACAUAUUGUCGGUAUUCUUUCCGGUUAAUGUUGUCGGUAAAUAUGGAAGCCUUGAGUCUGCAUGGGGAAGCUUCAGGUCUGUGUAGAGAGAUGGGUCUAUCUGAGAUGCUAUUGGAUAUGCAGUGUCGGAUUUGAUUGCUGAUUGAAGGUUUUUUCACCGGUUGUUUUGCCCCGCGUUUGCUUCGCCUAUUCUCUUUUUCGAUUGCUGCAUGUUGGAUUUGAAUGGUUUUAAAUUUGUGCGGUCGGUCACUGUACUCUUCGAAAUCUUCUUCAAGUAUGAGUAAUGGGCAUCUUCAGCAUUGUCAGCCCAUCUGAACAUAGGCCCAUUUUGUUUUAGCAUUAGCACCAGCAAGCAAAGAAGAUCCACUUGCUUAUAGUCAUGGCCUAUUCAUGAUUACCCUUGGCCCAAAGCUAAGGCUCCUUUUAUUGUUUUCUCAUCCGUUAAUAUUAAAUGAUGUGGGCAACUUCAUCAA